rnacentral:rRNA from 1 species
CGCUGGCGGCAGGCCUAACACAUGCAAGUCGAACGGUAACAGGAAGCAGCUUGCUGCUUUGCUGACGAGUGGCGGACGGGUGAGUAAUGUCUGGGAAACUGCCCGAUGGAGGGGGAUAACUACUGGAAACGGUAGCUAAUACCGCAUAACGUCGCAAGACCAAAGAGGGGGACCUUCGGGCCUCUUGCCAUCGGAUGUGCCCAGAUGGGAUUAGCUAGUAGGUGGGGUAAAGGCUCACCUAGGCGACGAUCCCUAACUGGUCUGAGAGGAUGACCAGCCACACUGGAACUGAGACACGGUCCAGACUCCUACGGGAGGCAGCAGUGGGGAAUAUUGCACAAUGGGCGCAAGCCUGAUGCAGCCAUGCCGCGUGUAUGAAGAAGGCCUUCGGGUUGUAAAGUACUUUCAGCGGGGAGGAAGGGAGUAAAGUUAAUACCUUUGCUCAUUGACGUUACCCGCAGAAGAAGCACCGGCUAACUCCGUGCCAGCAGCCGCGGUAAUACGGAGGGUGCAAGCGUUAAUCGGAAUUACUGGGCGUAAAGCGCACGCAGGCGGUUUGUUAAGUCAGAUGUGAAAUCCCCGGGCUCAACCUGGGAACUGCAUCUGAUACUGGCAAGCUUGAGUCUCGUAGAGGGGGGUAGAAUUCCAGGUGUAGCGGUGAAAUGCGUAGAGAUCUGGAGGAAUACCGGUGGCGAAGGCGGCCCCCUGGACGAAGACUGACGCUCAGGUGCGAAAGCGUGGGGAGCAAACAGGAUUAGAUACCCUGGUAGUCCACGCCGUAAACGAUGUCGACUUGGAGGUUGUGCCCUUGAGGCGUGGCUUCCGGAGUUAACGCGUUAAGUCGACCGCCUGGGGAGUACGGCCGCAAGGUUAAAACUCAAAUGAAUUGACGGGGGCCCGCACAAGCGGUGGAGCAUGUGGUUUAAUUCGAUGCAACGCGAAGAACCUUACCUGGUCUUGACAUCCACGGAAGUUUUCAGAGAUGAGAAUGUGCCUUCGGGAACCGUGAGACAGGUGCUGCAUGGCUGUCGUCAGCUCGUGUUGUGAAAUGUUGGGUUAAGUCCCGCAACGAGCGCAACCCUUAUCCUUUGUUGCCAGCGGUCCGGCCGGGAACUCAAAGGAGACUGCCAGUGAUAAACUGGAGGAAGGUGGGGAUGACGUCAAGUCAUCAUGGCCCUUACGACCAGGGCUACACACAUGCUACAAUGGCGCAUACAAAGAGAAGCGACCUCGCGAGAGCAAGCGGACCUCAUAAAGUGCGUCGUAGUCCGGAUUGGAGUCUGCAACUCGACUCCAUGAAGUCGGAAUCGCUAGUAAUCGUGGAUCAGAAUGCCACGGUGAAUACGUUCCCGGGCCUUGUACACACCGCCCGUCACACCAUGGGAGUGGGUUGCAAAAGAAGUAGGUAGCUUAACCUUCGGGAGGGCGCUUACCACUUUGUGAUUCAUA